rnacentral:lncRNA from 1 species
AUGACUGAGGAAGAGACUGGUAUACAACAACCUGGGAGAAGAGAUGUAUUGAGCAGCAGAACCAUCCCUGUGAUUACCCCUCCAGUCUCAGAGCAUCUCUACCGUGACACAGGAAGAGUAGAGGUCUGCAGAAACCGAGGUAAUGAAAGGACCUAUAAAAGGUUUCAUAUUUUAUACAUGGUUUGCUGUUCUAGCUACUAUAGCUGUCUAAUUACCCUAAAAGUAUGUGGUAGAAAUAGCACUAAUGUGCAUGGUUGCCCUGGGUUAAGAUAUGGACAGUAUGGGAGUUCCCGUCAUGGCUCAGUGGUUAAUGAACCUAGCUAGUAUCCAUGAGGACUCAGGUUCGAUCCCUGGCCUCCCUCAGUAGGUUAAGGAUCCAGCUUUGCCAUGAGCUGUGGUGUAGGCUGCAGAUGCGACUCAGAUCCCGUAUUGCUCGGGCUGUGGCAUAGGCCAGUGGCUACUGCUCUGAUUCAACCCUAGCCUGGGAUCCUCCAUAUGCCCUGGGUGCAGCCCUAAAAAGACCAAAAAAAAAAAAAAAAGGAGAAAAAGAAAGAUAUGGACAGUGUCUGAGGCCUCCACUAGAGGUCUUGAAGGCUGGGGUCUGGAAUCAUCUGAAGGCUCAUUCACAGAGACAUCUAGCAGUUGAUGCCAGCUGUUGGGUGGACUGUCAGUUCUUCUCCACUUCAACUUUCUCAUGUGGUUUCUCUGUGAGAGUUGGCUUGGACUUCCUCACAGCGUGACAGCUGAGUUCUGCAGGCAAGCGCUCCAAGAGAGGAAAUAUAUAGUUCCUUCUCGGACCUCGCCUCACAAGUCAUGGGUCAUUAUUUCUACUGCACCUUAUUCACUGAAGCAGUCACAAGUUCCAUUCAGGUCCAGGGAAAAACUAAAUAGAAUUCCCCCUCUUCUUGGAGAGAGGCAAAGUUCUGGAAAAAUGUGGGAUUGGAAAUUUUGAUGUGACUUUUUUGGGAAAAUACAAUCUGCUAUACUUAAAUUGCAGAUUGUAUAAGUUGCAAAGGGAGUAUAUACCAAGGUGCUUCCAAGACUCCGAAAUAAUUACACUUUGAAAUAGGGAAAGGUGAUGGUAUUGGGAAGGGGCACGAACAAGGUUGUGCUCUGCUGCCACAAACAAGGAUAGAUACUCGAUCUGGUUUUCUUGUGAGAUCCCUGAGAGGAAGUCCAAGGAAAAGGAGGGCCAGAGGAAGGAACCUGGGUAAAUAAUGGUUACCAGGUUGGUUGAAACUCCCUGCCCCAUGACAGAGACCUUAAGUUUAAGCAGUUGAAUCUUCAGAAAAACUUCAGGACAAAGGUCUUAGGCAGAGAUUUAGUCAGCCCAUUUCUAAGAUAUAUGCAAAGUGCUUUGCUCAUACAGCAUUAGAAGCAUGUGUGGACAAGGGGGCCAUAGGAUUGCUGGGUGUUGGUGAGUAUCUUAGAAUAAAGAUUGUGUCUUUAGCUUCA